rnacentral:rRNA from 1 species
GAUGAGCGCUGGCGGCGUGCCUAAUACAUGCAAGUCGAGCGAACGGACGAGAAGCUUGCUUCUCUGAUGUUAGCGGCGGACGGGUGAGUAACACGUGGAUAACCUACCUAUAAGACUGGGAUAACUUCGGGAAACCGUAGCUAAUACCGGAUAAUAUUUUGAACCGCAUGGUUCAAAAGUGAAAGACGGUCUUGCUGUCACUUAUAGAUGGAUCCGCGCUGCAUUAGCUAGUUGGUAAGGUAACGGCUUACCAAGGCAACGAUGCAUAGCCGACCUGAGAGGGUGAUCGGCCACACUGGAACUGAGACACGGUCCAGACUCCUACGGGAGGCAGCAGUAGGGAAUCUUCCGCAAAGGGCGAAAGCCUGACGGAGCAACGCCGCGUGAGUGAUGAAGGUCUUCGGAUCGUAAAACUCUGUUAUUAGGGAAGAACAUAUGUGUAAGUAACUGUGCACAUCUUGACGGUACCUAAUCAGAAAGCCACGGCUAACUACGUG